rnacentral:piRNA from 1 species
UUGUGACUGCCUAGCAACUUCUAGA